UACGUAGGGGGCAAGCGUUGUCCGGAUUUAUUGGGCGUAAAGAGCGUGUAGGCGGUUUGGUAGGUCCGCUGUGAAAACUCGAGGCUCAACCUCGAGACGCCGGUGGAAACCAUCAGACUAGAGUCCGGAAGAGGAGAGUGGAAUUCCUGGUGUAGCGGUGAAAUGCGCAGAUAUCAGGAAGAACACCCGUGGCGAAGGCGGCUCUCUGGAACGCAACCGACGCUGAGACGCGAAAGCGUGGGGAGCAAACAGG
rnacentral:rRNA from 1 species